rnacentral:RNase_P_RNA from 2 species
CUGACCAGGCAAAACGAUCGCUGGGUUUUUAAACCUGGAGGAAAGUCCGAACACCACAGGACAGGACGCUCCAUAACGUGGAGUCACGGUGACGUGAAGGAAAGUGCAACAGAGAGUAGACCGCCUCGCUACUCAGUUUGUUGAAUAACAUGAAGGACCCUUUUUAAGUUGUUCAUCGAACUGAGUAGCGAGGUAAGGGUGAAACGGUGCGGUAAGAGCGCACCAGUUUUCCAGGUGACUGGAAAAGCUUGGUAAACCCCGUCCGGUGCAAGACCAAAUAGGAAAAUGUUUGAGGGUUGUCCGCCCAAGUUUUCGGGUAGGUCGCAUGAGGUGUGCGGCAACGUACAUCCAAGAUGAAUGAUCGUUGAUCUGUUUGCGGUAACAAGAGCAGAUAACAAAAUUCGGCUUAUCAACUGGUCAGGCCG